rnacentral:rRNA from 1 species
UACGGAGGGAGCUAGCGUUGUUCGGAAUUACUGGGCGUAAAGCGCACGUAGGCGGCUUUGUAAGUUAGAGGUGAAAGCCCGGGGCUCAACCCCGGAAUUGCCUUUAAGACUGCAUCGCUUGAAUCCGGGAGAGGUGAGUGGAAUUCCGAGUGUAGAGGUGAAAUUCGUAGAUAUUGGGAAGAACACCAGUGGCGAAGGCGACUUACUGGACACAUAUUGACGCUGAGGUGCGAAAGCGUGGGGAGCAAACAGG